rnacentral:rRNA from 1 species
GCAGGCGCGAACCUUCGCAAUGCGCGCAAGCGCGACGAGGUUAUUCCGAGUGAUUUCCGCUGAGGAGAUCUUUUCUCAGAUCUAAAAUGUCUGGGGAAUAAGGGGAGGGCAAGUCUGGUGUCAGCCGCCGCGGUAAUACCAGCUCCUCGAGUGGUCAGGGCGUUUAUUGGGCCUAAAGCAUCCGUAGCCGGCUCAGUAGGUCUUCUGUUAAAUCCAACGGCUCAACCGUUGGUCUGCAGGAGAUACCGCUGGACUAGGAGGCGGGAGAGGCGGACGGUACUCCGAGGGUAGGGGUAAAAUCCUUUGAUCCCCGGAAGACCACCAGUGGCGAAGGCGGUCCGCCAGAACGCGCUCGACGGUGAGGGAUGAAAGCUGGGGGAGCGAACCGGAUUAGAUACCCGGGUAGUCCCAGCCGUAAACGAUGCGAGCUAGGUGACACAACGCCUUCGGGGCGUUGUGGUGCCGCAGGGAAGCCGUUAAGCUCGCCGCCCUGGGGAGUACGGACGCAAGUCUGAAACUUAAAGGAAUUGGCGGGGGAGCACCACAAGGGGUGAAGCCUGCGGUUCAAUUUGGAGUCAACGCCGGGAAAUCUUACCGGGAGCGA